AAGUCGUAACAAGGUCUCCGUAGGUGAACCUGCGGAGGGAUCAUUAACAAAUGCUUCUGCAUAACAAUUGUGAACUGUUUGAGUCUGCGGACUCUACCUUACACACUUUAGACUGAUAAUUCAUGAAUGCGAGAAACAUAAAACUUUUAGCAACGGAUCUCUUGGCUCUC
rnacentral:misc_RNA from 1 species